GACGAACGCUGGCGGCGUGCCUAAUACAUGCAAGUAGAACGCUGAAGAGAGGAGCUUGCUCUUCUUGGAUGAGUUGCGAACGGGUGAGUAACGCGUAGGUAACCUGCCUUGUAGCGGGGGAUAACUAUUGGAAACGACAGCUAAUACCGCAUAACAAUGGAUGACACAUGUCAUUUAUUUGAAAGGGGCAAUUGCUCCACUACAAGAUGGACCUGCGUUGUAUUAGCUAGUAGGUGAGGUAAUGGCUCACCUAGGCGACGAUACAUAGCCGACCUGAGAGGGUGAUCGGCCACACUGGGACUGAGACACGGCCCAGACUCCUACGGGAGGCAGCAGUAGGGAAUCUUCGGCAAUGGGGGCAACCCUGACCGAGCAACGCCGCGUGAGUGAAGAAGGUUUUCGGAUCGUAAAGCUCUGUUGUAAGUCAAGAACGGGUGUGAGAGUGGAAAGUUCACACUGUGACGGUAGCUUACCAGAAAGGGACGGCUAACUACGUG
rnacentral:rRNA from 1 species